rnacentral:piRNA from 1 species
UAAGUGCUGAUGAAGACUCCCCUUCCUCC